UUAUACAUGCAGAUUCCGAUGUUUACGUCAUUGUAUUUUCGUAUAGUAAUAGUAUAUUAUAUGAAAAUACAAUGACGUAAACAUCGGAAUCUGCAUGUAUAAUGA